rnacentral:rRNA from 1 species
UUACGUGCCAGCAGUUGUCGGUAAUACGGGGGGAGCGAGUCGUUUUAGUUCAUGAUUGGGUGUAAAAGAGUUCUAAGAUGGCAGUUACGGAUUUUUGUGAAAUGCAAAGAUAAUCUCUUUGAAAAAUGCGAUUAAUAUCCUAUUUGCUUUGAAUUAAUCAGAGGUGUGCAGAAUUCUGUAAGCAGAUAAUUAGAGUGAAAAUCUUAAUUUACAGAGGAAUGCCAGUGGCGAAAAGCGGCAUGCUGGGAUUAAUUGACGUUACAAAACGAAUGCAUGGGGAUCAAAUCGGAUUAGAUACCCGAGUAGUCCAUGCAGCCAAAGAUGAAUGCUAACAUUGGGAUUUUAUAUUACAGUGUAAAGCUAACGCGUUAAGCAUUCCACCUGGAGAGUACGUUAGUCAAUAAUGAAAUCCAACGGAAUUGACGGGGA